rnacentral:lncRNA from 1 species
GUCAUAGUCACAGCUACUGAUUCACCUGCCUUCCUGUCUGGUUUUUGCGGGCCCUGGGAGGAAGUGUUUAUUGGCUCCUGAGUCACCAGCCCCUGCCACCUGCUGGCCUCUCCCCACAAGUGUCCCCCUUUCCAUGUUGCUUCCCCUUUGACCCUAGGAUUUCUGCUCUCUGUCUGUUCUCUGGGUGGCGCAGCCAAUCAGCUUGUGAGAUCAGAGACGUUGAGCUCUGGGAGCCACUGCUUGCCCUGUACCUCUCUGUGCCGUCCUGCCUCUGCCUGAGCAGGCCUGGCUGCUUCGAGGGGAUCCCAGGCCUCUUGCUCCAUGCUGGCUGCCAGGGUGGAGAGCAGCUCAACCUUCCUCCCAUGUGACAUUGGCCAUCAGAAGCCGGCUGCCAAUGGGUACAAGAUGGGACCAUGGCACCAGUGUGCCUCUGAGACAUGGGAUAGACACUCACUUCCUGCUUGCCAAGGUGGAUGUCGUUCUAGUUAUGCACAUGUAUAAGCAGGUGUGGGCCUUGUGUUGAGGAGGGAAGCCCUGUGUCCCAGGUUCUUACAUGCUGUCUGCUGAGAAGUCACUGCCCGGGGACUCCUAGCACCCA